rnacentral:rRNA from 1 species
AGUGAACGCUGGCGGUAGGCCUAACACAUGCAAGUCGAACGGCAGCACAGUAAGAGCUUGCUCUUACGGGUGGCGAGUGGCGGACGGGUGAGGAAUACAUCGGAAUCUACUUUUUCGUGGGGGAUAACGUAGGGAAACUUACGCUAAUACCGCAUACGACCUACGGGUGAAAGCAGGGGAUCUUCGGACCUUGCGCGAUUGAAUGAGCCGAUGUCGGAUUAGCUAGUUGGCGGGGUAAAGGCCCACCAAGGCGACGAUCCGUAGCUGGUCUGAGAGGAUGAUCAGCCACACUGGAACUGAGACACGGUCCAGACUCCUACGGGAGGGAGCAGUGGGGAAUAUUGGACAAUGGUCGCAAGCCUGAUCCAGCCAUACCGCGUGGGUGAAGAAGGCCUUCGGGUUGUAAAGCCCUUUUGUUGGGAAAGAAAAGCAGCAGGUUAAUACCCCGCUGUUCUGACGGUACCCAAAGAAUAAGCACCGGCUAACUUCGUG